GUUCAAGUUAAGUCAGUUUAGAGUUACUUCCCAUUUGAAUUUGUCCAUUUAAGAUAUUGUUUCGUUAAAAUGUGCAACGUAAAAAAAGUAUUGAUCUUUUUAUUCUUCCUGGUGAUUGCCAUCAUGGCCAGGCCACAGUCCGAUGAACCUCACUCCCACGAACACACGGACGAACACUACGACCCCCAUUUGAACAGGGACAUCGGCCAUUACGAACGCGAAAUUUUGCACCAGCAAAGACAUCUCAACCAUAAACAACAGAAACAGCACGGCCAUUUCAAUACACACUUCAACCACAACGGACAAUAUCUGCCCCACCAUCACGGAGGACAUUAAUCAAGAAAUUUUAGUAUAAAUAUCAAUAGUUCCCAACCGAUUCAUCAUGUGUUUCUAUAAUAGUUGAUUAGCAGCUUCCACUUCAGCAUGAUUAAAUUACUUAUUUUUGUAAUCUUUUCACUUAUUGCUACAAUAAUGGCGCUUCCUGAGGCUCUUCCAGAGGCCAUUCCGGGAGCUCUUGCUGGCUACUAUGGCAGACGUGGACACUGGCAUGGCCAUGGUCAUCAUGGACAUUGGCACGGUCAUGGUCAUGGUCAUUGGCAUGGCCAUGGUCAUGGACACUGGCAUCGCCGUGGUCAUCAUUAUGGAUAAUUUUCCAUUAUGCUACACAUACACAAUUUACUUAUUACAAAUUUUAUAUAUGGCUUAAAUAAAGUAUUAUGAUUAUAAUCAAAAUACAUAUACGUAUGAUAGUUAAUUAAACUGGGUUAAAGUUAAAA